rnacentral:rRNA from 1 species
UGAGGAAUAUUGCGCAAUGGGCGAAAGCCUGACGCAGCAACGCCGCGUGGGGGAUGAAGUUCUAUGGAGCGUAAACCCCUGUAAGUGGGGACGAAGUUUAGAUAGUCGAACAGGCUAUUUAAUUGACGGUACC